ACCUAAUGAUGUGGACAUUUAGGAAAUAGGUCCCUAAAGCACUCCCAAAUCUCAAAAUAGAGUUCCCCAUCUAUCUAUGAGAAACUUGUGAUGACUCUUCAAAGCU